UAUUUUGGGAUGGACCACAAUGUUGAUCAAACUGGAAAAGCUGUCAUCAUCAACAAAACCAGUAACACAAGAAUGUAAGGGAGGAAAGAGAUUGGAAGACUUUCCUGGGAUAGCCUCUAGCGUGGAAGAGGAAGGUGUAGGAUCAAGAUGUCUCUUUCUGGGGACGGGACAAUGUGGAGGGUUAUAUUAUCAAUUCCUACUCUUUGUGAGGAGUUAGAGAUAGAGUCUAGGAGGCACUUGUGUUUUGUGAAGGCUGGCCCCUGGCGUCUCUUCACCUUUAUUGAUAGGACAGGUAUAACUUUGGAGGAAGACAGCUUACAAAGAAUAGACCUUGAGGAUUUCACUGUGGCUUUGUGGAUGUGUGACUCCAGAAAUCCCUUGAGGGAGAGUUGUGAAAUUUUUAAGAGUGCUAUACUAGAAGGUCUGCUUCCUAACAAAAGGAUCUUUUUCCUUCCUUCUUUCUACAUUUCUCUCCCAAACCAGCCCUGAACAGAGAUUCUCAGAACAUAUAAAGGAUGAGAAGAAUACAGAAUUUCAACAGAGAUUCAUUCUCAAGAGAGAUGAUGCCAGUAUGGACCGAGAUGAUAACCAGGUGAAGAAUGGAAAGGGGUGGGGCCAUACAGAGAGAUUGCAGUAAGAGAAACUGGGAGGGGAGAAGAAUUUUUGUGGGAUAAAGAAAACUCGAAAUAUCUUAGUAUGGAGAAAUGUAUUGAGUUCUACUCAGUUGGCUGUGGCUUAAUUUUGAGGACUGACUACAUUUGUUGAGCUGAAUGCCGCCCUCUUAGCCCCAGAGAGACAUGGUGCUGAGUUUUGCUGGGUUUCCUCAUUUGGCCUGGAACUCCCUGGUUCUGCCACUGACUUCUAGCUCUAGGUCAUUUGGGGACAAAGCAAGGUUCCUCCCUGCUUCAGCCUUGAUUCAGCUGACGGCUUCAUUCUUUUUUUUCUUUAAUAGUUAGGAAUUUCUUUGGGAACCAUUAAAAGUUAUUUUAUCCCACUUCUGUCUUAUCCUAGCUCAGGGCUAGCCUUGGACUGGCAAAGUUGUGAUGUAAUUUACCCACUUAUAAAGAUGUUUCUGAUCCCUUUCUGCAAACUCCUUAUUUUCCCAACUCCUUCCACCAAGGUGAGUGAGUUGAUUUGACAUUUGAUGCUGGGAAUCUCAGGCAGUAUCCCCUUUUUAUUCUAUUCCCGUGGGAAUAAAACGUGAACAGUCUGCCCUAUCGCUUCACUCAUGGGCCUGGCUGUUGCCCUGACUUCUAGCCUACUCUUCAGAUAGUAAGUUUUUGUUUGGGGAUUAGUUUUCCCAGCCAUAUACAGCAUUUAGAUCCAGCCAGCCUCUGUUUGACCUCCAGAGGAGGUUAGGUGGAGAACCAGGAUUAAGAUUUGAAGAGCAUGGUUGGGUAGAGCCAAUAUGAGUCUUGCUAAUUGAUGAUAACUAUAAUAAUAUCUUACCUCUAGAGUCAAAAUUAAUUUUCUUGGGAUAUCGUAUGGUCUCGAGACCAGGACUUUUCCUGCUUGCUACUUGAGUAUUUGAGGGAGUCCUUUUGAGAAAAACGCCAUUAUCUUUUGUGGACAAACACGCUGGGUCUGAUUGAAAACAAUGAAAUAUUUAAAAAAAGACAAAAUUUUAAAAAUCAGAAAGAGCCUUUCCAUCCUGAUGCCCUUCUCUCCAUUUUCCCAAAACCCUUUUUCUGUGGAUCAGGAAUUAUUCAGGCCUAGAGGCACAUUGGGGCGGAGUAGAAUCUGUCCAUAUUACGAACUUUUCAUCUCUCAGCAUCAGGCUUGAUCCAUAGUAGGGUAGGCUCUCUGCAUUUUCGGUCCGUGAUAUUAAUAAUAAAUACAUUAAUUGUUAUUUCUUUUGAGUGUUUCCCUGACCUAGAUUCUGUUCUAAACACAUUCUGUGCAUUAUCUCUUUUAAUCCUCUCCACAACCCAGUAUACAUGGGGGUUAUUAGCUCCACUUUAAAUACAAGAAAACCGAGGCUAAGAGAUGUUAAGUUACUUGCCUGAAAUAACAUUUUUCAGAAGUGACAGAGCUGAAAUUCUGCCUGACCUCAAAGCCCAUUAUACUUUUUCUGCUCUGUCACUGGUUCACCAGUGCUAGGGGUACUUGAGGUCCUAUGUCUUCUUGAAAUGGGAUUUGUAAAAAGACAUUGAGUAGAAUUUAGGUUCUUAAUGCUAGUGAGAGUUAAAUCUAGUGAAAAGUUGAUACUCCUGAAGUUAUACCUACCCGUGGAGAUGGGUGAAGAUCAGGAAGAUCAGCGUAGAGCAGCAGCCUCCUUGGUUGCAUCAUCUGAAGCUUUCAGAGCCUCUGGAUUAAAGGUCAGAAUCUUUUAUAACUGAUGACAUUCAUUGGACGGGUUGUCUCCCCCGGAGCAUCUUGCCUUCAAGAGCAGUAUGGAAAAGGACACUGUGUAUGACACCCUACCCAGGACAGUGCUCACAACUCAACAGGCCAAGAGAGGAAAACGAUGAUGGAGAGUUGGGUGGUGGGCUAGCCAGAGGUGGUGAUCUGCCCAGUCAUCCCUCAUCACCUUCUCUACAUUUUUCAGAGAAUUUAAAGUUCUCUAACCUCCAUUUCCUUCUUUUCCCUUUCUAUCACUCUCUCUCUCUCUCUCUCUCCUUUCCACCGUGCCUUAUUUGUCCCUUCCUUUCCCUGUCCAUCCUUCUUUCUGUUCUGUUCUCCUUUUCUCUCUCUUCUCCUCUUUAUGUUGCUCUGUUCUCUUUCUUCUCUAUUUCUGUAAUUUCUGUCUCUUUCCCUCCCUCCAGUGGCUAUAGUUAAGAGGAGAAAAACUGCUUAAGCUUUGAGGUUAGCUUCACUUGGAUUUCAUUCCCAAGGCCCUCUUUGCUGAGCUGUGUGUGACUUGGAUCUUCAGGCCAUGGCAUUAGUGAGUAAAGAAGGGAUAAUAUCAGGUGCUAGUUCUGUAAAACUCUUCUCUACAUUCGGCUCUGCUAAAUACCUGUUUCUUCUCCCUUGCUAGCUUCCUACUAUCCCUUUCUUUCCCUCCAAAGCAAUAUUGUUUAUUCCCUGGGCUAUUCUCUUGAUCCUUAGUACCUGAUUACUAAAAGGAAGCAACCCAAUCCUUAUAAAUAGUUGUUGUUCUUGACACUCUGGGUGGGGGUGGGGAGACGAAGAGGUUCCAAUCAUCCAGAAAACCUGAUCUCCCAAACUGCAUGGUCAGAUGUACCCAGUGAAACCUGUCCAACACUGGAAAUUUUAUUUCUUUUUUUUUUUUCCAUUUUUUUGAUGGCAACUAUAAACUCUCCCGGUUUCUCUUCCUUGCUGGUGUGCAGUGAGCUUGCAGUACGAGGAGAACUUAACUAGCUUAAUUCUGCUCAUCGAUCUAGAUCAGAGUUCCAUUGCAGGAUGGAAGGAGGAGCAAGUCAAUAGAAGAGAGAGAGGAGGAAUAUCAAAGGGUCCGAGAGAGAAUAUUUGCCCGAGAGGUAAGUGUAGCUUCUGAGAGUUGUCAGCCCAUAGCUUUUAGCUCUUAAUCUUUGGAACUGUGAUUGGAAUGAACCCUCCGUAAAUGUUUUGUUGUUGUCUUUUUUUAACCAACAUCAGCCAGCUCCAGUUUGGUUCUCAAAUGUGGCUUACUGGGAAACUGCAGAUUUUUAUUUGUAUUAUUUUUCAUACACUUUGCAGUAUGGCAUACCAAGAGAACAAAUGGAAUGGCUGAAUUUGGUAGAUAUGAUUAGACUGAAAAUAGAAAUGGUUUUGGCAGGCCUUAUGGAAGGGCCCUGACUCUUGCCUGUCCAUCCCUUCUCCCACUUCCCCUCUUUCACUCCCACUAUCCAUUUUAGGCAUCUUUGCUUCUAAGUGGAAAACUUAGUAUCCACACAGCCUAUAUACAUCCAUCUUGUUUGGCCAGCCUCAUUUUUAGGAUAUGUUGGUGGUUGUUAGAGCACAGAUCUGGCAUCCAUUCUCUGAGCUCCACAUUCCACAUGCACAGAGGGUACCACUUACUAUUCCCUCCUGUCUCUAUCUGAACAGGAAGUCUCUUUCUUCCUCUAUUUCCUACCUUGCUUCUUAGAAUAGUAUGGACUUUGUGGGCCAGAAGGCAACACGAUCACUUUAGGCAACUUUAUUCUUAAGAAGUGUGGGCCAUAUUAAAUACACCCGGUACCCCUGUAUUUGGUGGCCUUUGCCUACAAGACUGAAGAGAAGUAUAGCAGAAAUUCAGGAAAGGCUGUAGAUAAGCAAGAGAGGAACAGAUCUCCAGAAAAUGUAGGCUCAAGAUAGCAGCACUGUCUUACAGUCAAAUUAGCAAACAAAGGAGGAAGAGCCAGCCUACCUUUGUAGUCAAAAGAUGGCCAAUUCUAAUCAAUAUACUUCGAUGAACACUACUCUCCUCUCAUUUCCCCACUCUCCCCUCCGUCAGCAAGACAAAAAAUACAUUUAUCUCUCCAUCAUCACCUAGCUCAGAAAAACAUUGUCUCUGACUUCAAGAAAACUGAACUCCUCUAUGAACGUGUUCCAUUGUCUCAGGAGACCCAAGUGUUCCAAGGAUCCUCAGUGGGGACAGAUUCACAACAAACCUCCUGACCAAGGAGAAGGAAUCAUCUUACCUUCUGUUAUAUAGACUUCCAUUCUGAGUCAGAAAAAAAUCUGUCCUCCAGAUUAUCCAACCAUAGCCCAAAGAGGGUCCUCUGCCUUUACCUGCAAACCAGUUGGGUGGAAUGAGAGGAGAGAGGUCACUUGUACAUGUCUGUGGCCGACGAUGACCCUAAGUUGUGGACAGAGCAGGUUGGUGGAUGAUAAUAACAAACAUUUAUAUAGUGCUUACUAUCUUUGAGACACUGUUCUUAGCACUCUGCAUAAAUGUAUUUAAUCCACACUAGGUCUUUGAGGUAGGUUAUGUUAUUUUCCUCAUUAUGAAUGAGGGACUGAGGCAUAGAAGGUUAAGUAAUCUUAGAUCAGAGCUCUAGUUAGUGACAGGGUUGAUAUUUGAGCUCAAGCAGUCUGGCUCCUAAAGUAAACCACCUAAACUUAACCCCUAAAGUAAACCACUUCUCAAUAGCUUGCUCUGCUCUGGGCUCUUCAGAUUAGGAAGUACCAGUGAUAUCAUAGUAUAGCUAUCUGUGAUGUGCUGCUCUGCUUCCCUGACACAUGGUAAAUGACUGUCCCACCAUGCCAGCCAUUAGCAAAGCCAUAGAGCCUCUGAAAGCACAAGUAGCUUUUAAUAAGGUAUUGGGGCUAAUUAGGAACACCAGAACAUAAGUGUGUACAACUGUAACAAAAUCACAGUUAGCUCUUCUCUCCUUUUUUCUCCUGAUUUCCAGUCUCUCAAGCCUCUACUAAUUUAUGUAUUCUUUGUUAAAUCCUUGUGGAUUUACCACUUUUCAUUUCAGCACUUCCUAACUCUUGUUGUGUUAAAAGCAUCAGGAAUCUCAGAAGGUCUAGACAAGGAAACAUGUCCAAAGCCCACCAUACUCAAGAUUCCCUUGUGGAGAGGAACCUGGCCAGUCAGAGGGAGCUGAUUAAGGGUGGAGUCGUUGGUAGGGGCAAAUGGGAGGAAGAGGCAGGCCAACAAGAAAGGGAAGUGGCAAGAAGGGUGUUUGGAUGGAAAUGCUGCCGCUGCAACCUUCUCUGGAGCCUGAGCUGUGUACUGGGAGAGCUGCCCCACUUAGGCUCUGGUCUGCACGGAGCCCACUCUGCUCAGCAGCUGGACACUCUUGGUACCUUUUUCUAAGGCUUGGGAGUGCAUCAUAAUGCUCACUUCACUCAGCUCAGUGGCUUUGUCAGGAAAUGAUCCCCAAAAGGAAUGUUGCAGGCUUUUAAUUCUUUCAUUUUUUCUAGGCUCCGAAAAAGUACCUGCUUCCCCAAUUUCUUACUCUCCUUGGGUCUCAGGUCAGAAUGUCUUUCAUUUUGGCCAGUGUGGAGGAUAGAAAUGGAAUAGUCAUUGAGGAUGACUUCCAAAAAAAAAAACUAAAUUUCUUUCUCUUGUCUCCCUUUUCCCUUCCCUUGAUCACACUCUUUAGGACCAAGCACACCAAUUAUUAUGCUCAGCUUUACCUCUUAGGGAGAAUAAAUUUAGAACUAAAAAGGAAAUAAUAGGUUAAUACUUUCCUCUUCCUCCUUUCCAUACUCCCACUUUUAUCAGCGUCUCUUUUUAAACACUCUGUGGGAAGGCUAAAAACACUGAAUGCUCUUUCCCACUAAAGGUGAGAGGUCAGAUUGGGUGUGUGGGUGUGGGUCAUCCUGUCCCUGCUCCCUCUCUCCCUGUUGGGGGGUGAGCGUGGUUUGAGGACCUUGGGUAUUCAUAGCAUCACGGACACCCUUUUCGGUUAUGCCAUGCUGUUUUCUUAUAAGUUAUUUUCCGUUUUCUCCCCUUCACCUAGACUGGCCAGAACGGAUAUCUAAAUGACAUCAGGUUAGUACCACUUAGCAUGUUCCCUGCUUCUCAUUGAGCUUUGUCAGUGAGGUUAAUAUAAUCCUGUAAUGAUGCUUUUCUUUGAUGUUAACCAACAGACUCUCCAAAGAAGCCUUUUCUUCUAGCUCUCACAAGAGAAGGCAGAUUUUUAGGUACCUCUGUGUGAUCUAUAUAUCUCUCCUUGUCAUUGUUUGUUUGUUUUUUUUUCUCUUUUUUUGUUUUGUUUUUGUUUUGCUGUAAUCUUUUCAGCGGAGUGAGUUUGCUCCAUGCAUGGCUGCUUGUGGAAUAAUUCACUUUGUGGUUUUUGCAACAUUGGAUAUUUUUCCCGAUUAAAAAAGAAAUGGCUCCUGCUCAAUGACUUUAUUUUUGUUGUUGCUGAUCUCAUUUUAAGUCGUGGAUAGGUGGUGAAGGGGACCAAAUAGGUGUGUCUGGGAUAGGAACUGCUCAUUUCCAGAAGUUGCUGGAAUUGGGCAUUUGGGGAGGAUUUCAACGUGUAUUUAUAUUAAGGUAAAAGAAUGGGUAUCUUCUGGCUACGUUUUCUGCUAUGAAAGGUGUAAAGAGCUUAUCCCUGACCCAGUGUAGGGAAUGUUUUAUGUCUUUAAGAAAGAAUAGAACACACACACAUACACACAUAUAAAAACACAUACAAACAUCUCUGUCUAUGCAGUUUUCUCUUUGGGACAACAUAAUGUGUAAGAUGACCUCAGAAAAGACUUCUCUUCCUUAGAAUGGACUUGGAGCAUAUCUUUUUUAUAUGACUGCCCAUGACUUGCUGUUAACAUUGGUGAAAGCUGCUAUAUUAACUCUUCAGGCCUAAUAUUCUCCCAUUUUCCACAAAGCAGUCAUGAGAAUCUCCCUUUCAUUUUAGUCUCUCAGUCCUACUCUAGAGGAUCACACAAUGUGGUGAUGAGAGAAGCACUUCAUUAGGACCCUAUCUGGUACCAACUGAUUUUAAGUAUAUUCUUCCCAUUUUACCAACAGGACAACUAUAGAGUAGAGAAAACUUGAGUAUUCAAUACUAGGCUUCAGGUCUAACCCAUUCCAAAGGGCUUCUUUCUUUUUGAAUCCUAAGCUUGAUGGGAACUGAGAUUAGUCAGAGCUCUCAUUCCCAGCACUUCAAUUGUCCCUUCCCCCCUGUCCUUUCUAAAGUUAGUCAGACCACAUAGAAAUUUGGAUCACAAGAUUUCUCAUUCUUUGAAGGGGGGCGUUAUCUCCUUUCCCAUAUCUCUGAACUCUUUUUCCUAGACCAUCCCACCCUGAGGUCCAUCGGAAAGCCCUUAGGCAGUAAAGGCUCUGCAUUGUUCAUGGUGGUCAAAAUAGAUCCCCCCCCAAAAAAAAUAAAUAAAUUCCUGUUCCAUAUUGUAUACUUCAAGGUCAUGAAUCAUCCCAGAAUAUCUGUAAUAAACAGGAGUUUUAAGCGAACUUCUUUGCACAUGCUAAUGCACAGGGCUUUAUGGUUGCCAAAGUAUACUGUAUCUGAUUCAGAUUUCUCAGUGUCCUGAUUUGGUAAGCUGGUUUACACGGAAGAAAGAAAACAAAAGCAGAGAAAUUAAGUAGCUAACCUAAGUUUAUGUGGCUAUUAGUGGCAAAACUGGGACUCUUUGUCCAGUGUUAUUUCACCACACCACACCAGCUCUCUACAAAUAUCACCCCUUCCUCUCUGAGUAGUGUUCCAUUUGGAACCCUAAUUCAGAUUCACUGCUAAGAACGAUGCCCUUAUCAGUGCUGUGGAGCAUUGAACUACAUCAGACUGUGCUGAUAAUAGCUCCAAGGAUCUAGUGAGCAGGUAUAACCCUGUCCUAUCCAUAUCUCCUUGUAAGCUGCUGCUUUCCAUACUAUGUGUUGGUUAAAGAUCUAGGUCAUCUAAUAUGCAAUUCCAUGGACUCUGAAGGGGGUAUCUUCUAUUUGGGUACUAGUCCAGAAUUCUAGUGAUGAGAAGCUGGUCUUCUCUAACUGCUUUAUACCUUUCUUCCCAAGUGUGUGACACAAAUACUGAUAUACCACAUUCCAUCAUCCACUUUGGCAAUAACUAGGGCAACUUCCUAGUUCUUUGGAAGAUUCUAUUCCAUUUGAUAAAUAAGCCAUUACUGACAUUUACUGUCACCUCUUAACACAGGCCUCCCUACCCACUCUUCAGACCUGAUAAACUGAACUUUUCACCAUCAUAAAUCUACUCAUGAAAGCUAGGUCAGCUUUGAUUUUACAGGAGUAUGAAGUGUGAAUGCUCUCUGUCCUGUACCCCCAUCUCUCCAACACACACACAUAGCCCAAUCCAGGGCUUAGAACUGAGUCUGGGAGUUUUCCCUAGUUGCCUUAUGUUUAGUGAAGUGGAAAGACAUGGUUUAGUUGUAGAGAAGAAAAACUGAUCUCUUUCCUGGCCAAUACACAACUCAGAUUCCCUAACUCUUGGGGGUGUAGUGUACGAACCCUGGCUAGACCAUCAGACUAGCCACAUUUCGAACACUUGGCCAUCAUCGUCUUGGGGGAACUGGAUGAGUACAGAAGUGCUGCCACUUUGGCUCAAGCUUCCCAGGGUGUUUGGUUUAAAGUUGACUCAUUCACUGUUUACCUCUAGUAGAAAGAGAAAGUUAAUGGGAGAAUUGUCCUAAAAGAUAGUGCUGUGUUUGAUUUAGGUGUAAAAGUCCAUUAGGACUUGUCUUGUAAAAUUCAAGUUCUAAUCUCACCCAUUGCCAUUGCUGUAUUCGCUGCCCCAUAAACAGACACAUCUUUAUUGAGUCCUCUCAGUAGGCUUGCCUUUGUCCAUUGAGUCAGAGCUAUUGGCUCUCACUUCAGGUCUGGUUUUGUUCCUGGAGAGCCCCUGAUUUAUGUUUCUUUCUUGUUUCCCAUUCUACUUUUGACAUUCCCAAGACAAAGGGAUAAAGUUUUAGGGAGACAGGGAUAUUUUCCAGUUCUCUACUCUUACAUAGAGAGAAGCACUGAGGUUUUAUAUAUAUAUAUAUAUAUAUAUAUAUAUAUAUAUAUAUCCACUUGGGAUUCGGAGAAGAAUUAGCAUGUCCCUAGCCAGCUGUGCCAGUGUGUUUGUUCUUAGCCCACCAUGAUUGCCUUGACCAAAACUUAAAAUAGUGACCCUAGUCUUUAUUUUUGCCCAUUUUCCCUACAGUACCUUUGGAGCAGGUAUUCUAAUAAAGAAAGGUAUUUUCUUUAAUAUUACCCUCAUAAGAAAACACCUUUUUUUUUAAAUGAGAAUAACUCUGAGCCUCGUGUCUUUGAAACUAAGGGGAUUGGAUGGCGUUUGUAUUUGCUUUAGGUGGGAUGGUAGUGCAAAGGAGGGAACCCAAGCUACUAUGAUUUUUGCUCACCUGCUCCCCAGUAUAUAUACCAAAACCUUUGUAAUUGUUGCCUUUGGUUUCUUUAGUUCAGAACUUACUGGGGGUGGGAGAUAUGAAAGGAAAAUUCCUGGUUCUUGGUUGCUUAUUAAGAAGCAGUAAGGGCUCAGUAAGACUUAGGGUUUUUAGGUCAACCCCAUCUGUCUUGAGGACAACUGUUUAUGAUCCUAGGCAGUGAUUACAGCAUCAGGAUAACCCUGAUGCUUCCUGAGAAAAAUAAGAGAGGAGGAGUCCCUCUUCUCAAUAGCCUUGUGUCUUGCCUGGGGCAAUAGGGUUAUUAAUAUGGUGGCAGGUGGGCACAGUUAGCCCCCUGCUGCUUGCCAUCCUGGGUCCCAAGGGCAUAUUUACUUGAUCUUUACUUGAUUUACUUGACUUUAGCCCUUAGAGACCCUGGAACCAGUAGUUUGUAGAUACCAUCACAGAAUUGCCACAAAACAGGUUGGGUCAAUUUUAGACUAUCAGAUUGAGUUUUCCAGAGUGACCCGUUAAUGAAUAUAGUCCUCUUCCCACCCCUGGAAAAGUGGUACCUCUGCUGGCUUUGACACAUGUUAUGUGGAAGACCUGUUAUAUUUAUCCAUGUCAUUGGCUACCCCUGCCUUCUAGCAAUAGUAGCUUCUAGGAGUCCUUUUGUCUUAAGAACUCCUAGAAGGAGGUGGUACCCCUCUGCUCCCCACUAUCUCCUGCAUGUGUGGGAUCCCUGCGGGGGCAGGGGAAGAGACCGCAGCCAAUCUCAGCAUCAUGUAUAUGGUUUCCCAUCCACCUCUGGUCUCAUAUUGAAUUAGCUGCCAGCGCACUGUCUUCCAGAUUUGCCCCUGUGCUCUUUGUUACUGUACUGGAUCUUGUUCUGUCUGCUCCCAGCAAGUCUUGGUUGGCCAGCCAACUAACAAGAAAUCAGUGUCCAUCCUCCUCCCAACCCUCACCCCUUCUUUGUUAUCGAAGGAAUAGAAAUGAACUCUCUCCUAGCCCUUCUGCCGAAGUGGUAGGUGGGGGGUGCUCUGACCACUGUGGUCUCUGCAGGGGGAACCGUGAGGGGCUGAGCCGAACCUCAAGCAGCCGCCAAAGCAGCACAGACAGCGAACUCAAAUCCCUGGAGCCACGGCCUUGGAGCAGCACAGACUCUGACGGCUCUGUCCGGAGCAUGCGGCCCCCUGUCACCAAAGCCAGCAGCUUCAGUGGAAUCUCUAUCCUCACCCGAGGGGACAGCAUCGGGAGCAGUAAAGGUGGCAGUGCAGGAAGGAUCUCCAGGCCAGGUACUACAGCUUCUGUCCUUCAGUGUCAUGCUCAUCAUUUCUUGCUUGUCUCCUCUAAAACAUCAUUGAUGUUUGGAGCACUGGGUGGCUCAGUCAGUUAAGCACCUGACUUCAGCUCAGGUCAUGAUUUCACGGUUCAUGGGUUCAAGCCCCGCAUCGGGCUCUGUGCUGACAACUCAGAGCCUGGAGCCUGCUUCGGAUUCUGUGUUCCCCUCUCUGUCUCCUCCUACCCCACUCACACUCUGUCUCUCUCUGUCUUUCAAAAAUAAAUAAAUGUUUAAAAAGAAAUCACUGAGGGGCGCCUGGGUGGCUCAGUCGGUUAAGCGUCUGACUUCUGCUCAGGUCAUGAUCUCGCGGUUCGUGAGCUCAAGCCCCGUGUCGGGCUCUGUGCUGACAGCUCAGAGCCUGGAGCCUGUUUUGGAUUCUGUGUCUCCCUCUCUCUCUGACCCUCCCCCGUUCAUGCUCUGUCUCUCUCUGUCUCAAAAAUAAAUAAACUUAAAAAAAAAUUAAAAAAAAAAAUCACUGAUAUUUACUUCUAACAAAACAUUUCUCACAGUAUAGUGUCCUGGAAAGCUAACAUAGCCAGAUGAGGAGAAAUUUGAUUUCUUGGAUCCCCUGUUUUUUGAUUCCUCUCUCCGAUUUUCUUUCAAACCUUCUUUCCUAAUUGGAAAAAUAAAUAAAUAAAAGGUUGCGAUUAGAUUAUUUUAUCUUAUUUCUGACCAAGGUUGGACAUCCCUGUCAGCCCAAGUUCAAGUUAUAUGCUAAGAUGAGAAUGAUACUGCUUUCAUUCUGUGGCCUCUGAGAUUAUAAAGAGGGUUGGUUGAGCAGAAGGAACCUUUGGAGUUGAGCUGUUUGUAAUUAAUUGGUAGCAACCGAUAGGCCACAACUGCAAGAGAUGCUGUGGCUGCUUCCCUGGAGCCCAGUCACUGAGGAGGAGCAUAUGUUCCACAUGCCAGCCCUGUAACCACCCUUCAGCUCUCCUGAUGUGCAAUGUAACCUCCUCCAUUUAUUCCUAUUGUACUCUUUCUUAGCAGGGGGUAUUUAGCUCUUUAUACCCAGUGGGCCUCCAUUUCACCCUCCUCCCAUCUCUGAAGAAUCCUUGCAUCUCAUCCCAGAAGUUCUGUAGGUUUUGUCCUCAGAAGACAUCAGUAGUGGUGAAGAUUCUGCCUCUGUUAGGUCUCUGAUGGCCUUCUCUGUUACCUCCUCUCUAACCCCACUGCCUCUGCCUUUAUCCAGGCCUUUAUCUUCUUUUAUUUAGGUAUGACGCUAGCCCCCAAGCUAGUUUCCCUGCUCCACCCUUAGCCCUUUUAGAACCGGUUUACUAGUCUAAAACACAGAUCUAAUCGUGUCAGUCGUCUGUUAAAAUUAACAUUCAUGUUUCUGCAUUCCUGGCAUAAUAAAAUCCGAAUGACUUAAUGUAGCGUUGCUUCCUGACCCGUUUGCCAUCUCAGUCUUACUCCCAGAUAUCCUUCCUCCUCUGGCCCUCCAGCCAUUUCUUGAAUAUGAUAUUAGCUUCAUCCCUCCUUGGUCUAACAAGCCUUCUAUUCAUCCUGCAAAUCCAUUUCUCCUCCCACUUCCUGUUUAAGUGAGUUACUGCUUUCUCAUCUUUGCUUCCGUACAACUUUGUUCAUAUCACUGAUGCAUCCCUUAUCCUUAUCAGAUCGUAAUUGCUGUGUGAACGUCCAUCUCCUUUCGGAAGAUCCUGUGCUGCUUAAGGGAAAGGACUGUGUUCUCUUCACCUUUGAGUCCUCAGCUCAUUAUACAAUGCCUAGCACAUAGCAGAUACUUAGUAGAAGUAUUUUGUGUGAAUGCGUGCAUGACUUGAAGAGCCUGGAAGUGGGAAGAAUAGUUGGGUGACAGUUGUGCGUAUGUGUGUGUACAGGCAAGUGCUUGGAAAGGCCAGAUUGCCUUCUCAGCAACUCCUGUGAAAUGCUGCAAGUUGAGGAGAAAUCCAAGAGAAGCCAGGUCUCUUACAGGACUGGGAAUCUAUACCUUCCCAGGAAGCAGAUAGUCAUGUUCUCAGCUGUCUGGUCAUGUUGGACAGGUUCUCGGUACUUCAGCGGAGGCAGCUUGUCAGCCUCACGUUUUGUUCAAUUCCAAAAUCCAGUAUCGACGGGUGCGGUGUUUACUGUUCCCGGGGAACAGACACCUGCUAAGAUGAGGACUCCCAUCAGCAGGGCAGCUGCUCAUUCAUAUCUGUGCUCAUUCACGGAUCUUCCCAAGAUAGUGGGGGAAUGGACAGAAGGGAAGUGAAGAGAAACAGCAGAGCAGGAGUAGCACCCUACAUGUCCAAGGGUGGCAUGUUCACGGCUGGUGCUUACAACUCUUGGUGGGUCUCCUCUUUGCCUUAGGUUUGGCGCUAGGUGCCCCAGAAGUGUGCAACCAGGUCACCUCAUCCCAGUCUGUCCGGGGCCUUCUCCCUUGUACUGCCCAGCAGCAGCCGCCACAGCCACAGCCGCAGCAACUUCCUGCGCUCCCACCCACGCCUCAGCAACAGCCACCCUUGAAUAAUCACAUGAUCUCACAGGUGAGUCACCAGCAGAGCCCCUCCGCUCUGAUUCAAGCAAGCUCUGGAAGUACAGUCAUGUCUGUUGUGCUGUGGGUGGCAGGAAAGAUCUGUUGUUGGAGACCUGCCACUCGCUCCCCCGUUUCUUAUUUGUUAGUUGUGGGGAGAGAAGAGUAAGGUAAGGGUUUGGCCAAAGUGCUCUUAGAGUCAGCCUGGGAGCUUUUUGCCUUCUGUUUCUUCCUUUUCUUCCUGAGAAUUGCCAGUGGGAUCUUUUACCCCAUUCCACAUUUCUGCUGUAGCCCAUUUCCCUCUACAUCCUGUGUAAUUAGCAAGGCGAUUUUGUUCACUGCAUCCAUAUAUGGAGCUUGAAAAAAAUCAUGGCUCUCACCAUAACCAGCUGGAUGUAUUCAUGUGACUGUUGACCCGCAAACACAUAUUUAUGGAUUGGGGUUUGAAAAAAGGAAAUCUACUCAAGACCCCUUCCAUACAUAUGCCAUAAGGCACAAUCCCCCCCAAAGUUGUCUUUGUUUCCCAUGCCACGAAAGAGCUCUUUCUCCUUCUGUUGCUGGACUGGUAGAUAUUAAUAUCAAGUAGGGUUUGCGUGAAGUUUCCUUUCUGCAGAGAUCACACAAGUCUUCAGCAUCAGAAUCCGAGCCUAUUCUAAACUGGGACAUCAGUGUUGUAGGUUCAGGUCUCCCUGAUACUCUGAGCAGAGCUGCUCAUGAGUGGAGUCCAUCCUGUAUCCUGGGGUAUGUCUGGCGGUGGUCUCUGCCAGUCAGAAAGCCCGUAUGUCUGCACUCUACUGCUACAGUUCUUCUCAUUGCACCUCCCAGGCUCCCUCGCCUCUGGGCUUAGUCAGUUCAGCUUGGCAUCAGCUCUAUCUCUUCCAUAGGUAAAAGAAGCAAAUCACAAGCAUUAACACCCCAGGAACUGGAAACUAUCAGUAGACUGCAAAGAGCCCAGGAUGGCCCCGUAUUACCCCAUUCUGAUAUUGUAAUCAUCUAGGAAACCCUGCUUUGUGUCUUAAUGUAACCCACAUGCAGAUCAUUCCAGGCCUUUAUCUUGGCCCCUAAGUCAGUUUCUCUAGAGUUCUGACUUUUGUUCUUGCUUGAUCACCAUCUAUCUCAUUAAGUCUCAUUCAUGUCAGCUUACCUCACUCUGUACAGAGGUGUGGCACAAGUGUGUGCAUUCCGUUUGUGUCUUCAUUCAGACCUAUAAAUGGGUACACCUCUCUCUCUCUGGGUAUCUCCUACUGUGUUUCUGUGUGUGCCUCAGUUUUCUAAGGUCCCAGUGUUUGAGUUUUCUAAAAUGUGUGUAUUUUAAUACAGUCUUCCUCCCUUUUCUCCGUCUUAGUCUUCAUCUGCCUCCUACUUCCAUCCAUAUCUAGAAACAGACAAGAGUGGGAAAGGAAUAAAGAGAUCACUAGAAUAACCAUUUGGGACUGAAAAAAUGUUAGAAUGUCUAGGUGUCUGGCCCUAAAUCCCAAACUUUUACUCAGAUUCUGGCCCUGCUUCUGGAUCAUGAGGUUCUGUGAGUCAGUCAUUGAUAUUGACUGAUCUCCUGCAGGAGGUAUGGUACUAGGUUAGGCCUUGUAGAUUGGAGAUCUCUGUUUCCUCAGAAAUCCAUUCUUAAGGUUAACUGUGAUCACAAACUCCAAACUAAAAGAUCUUUUCCUGCUUAAGUUUUGGUGUCCCUGAAGCACUUAAUGAUGGUGACUAAUAUACUACCACCACCCCACUAUUUAUUUAUUUUUUUAAUGUUUAUUUACUUUUGAGAGAGAGAGAGUGGGGGAGGGGCAGAGAGAGAGGGAGACACAGAAUCCAAAACAGGAUACAGGCUCUGAGUUGUCAGCACAGAGCCCGACGCGGGGCUCGAACCCACAAACUGUGAGAUCAUGACCUGAGCCAAAGUUGGACGCUUAACGGACUGAGCCACCCAGGCACCUCCGCCACCCCACUGUUUAUACCUCCUUUUUUUUCCUCUCCACUUUCCGCCCUCUCUCUCUAUGCCUUCUUCUUCCUAUUGUCUUUUUCUUUCUUUGUUUUUUUCUCUUUUUCCCUCUCAGGACUGGUGGCUCUCCAGUCUCAAGGUGCUGAGCCCCAGCAUAUUUAUUGUUUAGUUUCACAAAUGGUUUGCAACAGUGCAGGGAUGAAGGAAGGAACCACACACACAUGCCACAUACAUGCCACCGUGCUGACUCUAAAGGUUUUCCUUUUGGAGAAAUAGCAAGAAAAGCUCUGUGUUCCAAGGCCUGGGGACAGUGCUAGAAACUAUGUUAAACUUUCCCUUCCUGGCAGGCUGUCCGAGCAGACCUCCCUAUGUAAAACCAAGGGGUGAGGUUGAGAAUUAAAGGGCCAGUGGCUACCUUUUGCUGUGUUUACCUAAGGUAGAGUGGACCACUUGAAAAGGAGGAGUCCUCUGGGAAUCAAGUUAGGCAGCCCAGAGCCAGCGAUCUAGCCCAGAAUUCACCAGCAGGUGGCAGUCAUAUCCCUCAUGGCCAGUCUUUGGCUUCCUCGUGGUAUUUCGGAAGCUCCCUAGCCCUGGUGUUUGAGACUGUCUGAGAACUGUCGCUGAGGGUAGUGGUGGAAGAACCUAAAAAUAGCACUGAGACACAUACUUUUACCACUACUCUUCUUCAGUCAAAAGAGGCCUAUGAGAGGAGCAUCAUUUCUUCCCUCUUUACUUUUUACUCAAAUGUGUAAGAAAUGUGAGGAAAACAGGCAGCUGUACCUAUGGCUACCCCUUCUCCCCCAAAGGAUGUAAGAUCUGAAGCAUAGUAGACCCUUCCCCAAGAGAAAGGAGAGGAUCAGGGUAAUAGAACACGUGUUUAAAAGCUACCAGCACAAGGAGCUCAUGCUGAGCAGGUUGGCCAGCAGUUACAUUUGAAAUGCCACUGGCUCACAGAACAUGGCAUGCCAGGAGAGCUGGGAGUCUAUCAAGGCUGCGGUAAUGUCUCCCCCAGUCUCACAGGGGAUUCUCAGGAGCUUUUUCUUAACCAAGAUGACUUACAUUUUAUUUUCAACAAACUCUAGGUAUCAGGAGCUUUCUCUGUUUUGGAGGUCUUCUAAUUCCCGGACUCUGCCUCCAGAACUGCUAGUCCCCUCUAUGAAAGAGUCUCCCGGAAGUAUAUGGCAAAAGACGAUAUUGACACCUUGGUCCCUGAUACCUCUUAAUACUCUAAAUUUGGAAGGAGGGAGGAGAAUCAUACAAACAAAACAAUGUGUAAAUCUGUUUAACUUCUUCCUUCACCCGCUCCCUACUGUUGACAGUGGAGUGGGAAGAAUAUGUCAGGCAGAACUAGGUUCCCAUCCCAGCUCUGCCACAUUAGAUGUGUGAUCCUGGACGUGUGACUGAAUUUCUCUGAGCCUUACUACCUUAACUGCAAAUACAAGCGAUCCUGUCUCCCUGUGGAUUACUGUGAGUCUGUAAUGAGAUAUGUAUGUAAAUGAGACAACGUAUAAAAUGUUAUUUCCCCCUCUCUUCGUAGCCUCUCUCCUUUUCUCCCACCUCAUCUACCACCAGGGGCUACAGCUAGAGAACCGAUUCUCCAGGAGAAGUGAUUGAAAUGGCUGGAGGGGAAGAAGAUAGAAAAAAAAUAACUCCCCAUUAGUUGGUUUAGAACACAUCAUGUUCCUAAUAAACAAAUCCUCCUGCUUGAGGCUAGUGAAGGGACUAAAGGAACAAAAUCUAAAGCAAGGCUAUUUAUAUUUUAUUCCACAUCCCUCCCUGUUUGCUUAUGGGGGCAUUUUUCAUACUGCCCUCACAGCCUGGAGGAGCACAGAACAAUCAUGGAGCAGGAGGAAGUAGCUGGAACUGGGCAUAAACUGGCUCUUACUUUCUUCUGUACCCUUGGGAGGGAGACGAUCCUUGUGAAUGAGCUCUUCCUCCAGGAGAGCUGUGGUGUGAAAUCAGGACUGUGGCCGGGAAAGCUGAGCCAGACCUUGGAUGACCCCUCCUACAAAAGCAGGAAUCCCUUCUCAAGUGGGCAUUCAAGGAGGGUUAUGGUCAUGCUCCCCAGGGAUCGUAUGUUCAGAAAAAAUGCUUUGGGAAAAGCCGUGUUUGGAAUCAGGCAGCAGACACACCGGCUCUGAGAGUCCUAAGAUUGCUCUCAACGACUGCAGAGUUCUGAGUAGCUAAUGGGUGGAGUGCGCACUGCAGCAGGCCUCUCCUGAUAGGAGAGAUUGCGUAUCUGUCGCCGAUGCGGAUGCGAAAGCCACAGGCUGUCCUGGGCUUGGUCUCCAGUCUGCUCAGCAGCCUUGCUCUUCAUGUGACAUUUUUUUAUGAUUAACCUUGUUGUUCCUCCCCUUUCCCUCCCCACCUCUGCCCUCCCUCCCCCUGCCUCUCCCUGCACUUCCCUUUUCUCUUCCCUGUUCCACAUGCCUCUCUGCUGGUCCACAGCCAGUCCCAGCUCUGCAGCCCUCUCCGCAGCCUGUUCAGUUCUCUCCAGGCUCCUGUCCCCAAGUCCUUCUGCCAGUCUCUCCGCCCCAGCAGUACAACAUGGUAUAAACUCCUUUCCCCUUUUUGUCGUGUCCAUGUGUGGUAUGUCUGUGGGUCCGUCUGGGACAAAGCAGCUGUACUUUUUGGAGGGCCAUGUUAAAAGGCAUAUCUUCUUGAGCAAAGGGCCAGCAUAGGGUGAGCUAUGUUCCAUUCUGGUGGCCUCAUCCCAGCACUUGUGGCAUCAAAAGAUGCCUAAAUGUAAGAGAGGAGCGCUGGUUCCCCUGAGUCUCGGGAGAGGUACAGAAUUGGAUAUUGCUCUAACCUGGGCUCCUUGUCUUUCUACUGUGUGCAUCUUUCAUCCCUCCUCCUCCCUGGAUAUGUCUGAAGAACCCAGUUUAUCUCAUAUAGGAUGGUUUUCUGUCAUUUCCUUUGAAGGUAAAAACACAACUGCAGAUUUGUUUGGUAUCAUCGGUCCAAACUUAAAAUGUUCCCCUAUGUUACUGUGUUAUUUUAUAUUAAAAAAAAAAAAAAAAAACUCCAUUUCCGCGGCAUAGCACAUGCUGUUUAAAUUGUUUGUACCCUAGCUACAAAUCCUAUGAAGACCUGAUCCACCUCAUAGUUGAUAACUUUUUUUUUAACUUAACAUCUUUUUUUUUUAAUGUUUGUUUAUUUUGAGAGAGAAAGAAAGUAUGAGCAGGGGAGGGGCAGAGAGAGAGAAUCCCAAGCAGGCUCCAUGCUCUGCGAGGAGCCUGACUUGGGGCGCAGUCCCAUGACCUUGCGAUCAUGACCUGAGCCGAAAUCAAGAGUCCUCUGUGUUUAACCGACUGAACCACCCAGGUGCCCGCCCCAUAGUUGAUAACUUUUAUCAUGGUUAUCAGAGCCCUGAUUAUUUUUAAUUUUGUGUUAACCACACCUGUCUGGUUUUUGGUUUUUUAAAUGUUUAUUUAUUUAUUUUGAGAGAGAGAUCAAGAGCGAGUGGGAGAAGGGCCAAGAAAGAGGGAGACAGAGAAUCCCAAGCAGGCUGUGCACUGUGUCAGCACAGAGCCUGAUGCAGGGCUUGAAAUCAUGAACUGUGAGAUCAUGACCUGAGCUGAAACCAAAAGUCAACUGCUCAAUCAACUGAGCCUCCCAGGCACCCCACACCCUUCUAAUUUUUCACUAGAAUCCCCUUUCCUUCCGCCUAUAUCUCCAUUCUGAAAAGUUUUGGAAUGUAGACCUCAAAAUUAUCUGCAAUCCAGUCCUCUUAUCAUCUAUUCCUGCUCACUAAGGUAGCAGAACAGCUAACUUGAAGAUCAGAUUCCUGAAAAUUAAGUGAAACCACGGGAAAGCAUUGCCUUUUCUUUCUACUAGUUCCUCUUUCAAAAGAAGUCCUGCUCUGCGUGUGUGUGUGCGUGUGUGUGUGUGUCAACUACCGUCCGGGAAGCAGAAGGAACGAGGAAGCUAACAAAUUCUAACCUAUCAUCAUACAAGUGAGAGGCAGAACACCAUCCCUCUUGCUGCUUAGAGAAGAAGGCUGAGCGAGGAGGCAAUUACAGACUAGCCUGUCAGCCUCCUUGCCCUUCACCUUGGCCACUCAGCCUGGCCUCCUUUCAGAGGUGAGAAUUGGAAGUAGUUCCUGAAGGGCAGGAGAACUCUAGGCAAGUGUCAGCGAACAGAGGUGGAAAUGACCUCAAGAGGAGGGAGUAAGGAGAUAAGCAGCAGGAGGGGGAGCCCACCAGUCCUUUCGCUGCAUAGGCAAAGCUGGGGAGCCACGAGAACCUAACCAUCCCUAAUCCAUUCGAGGUGUUACUUAUCUAGGUCCUUUAUUACAAAAACAGGAUUUAUGGCAAUAUAGGGCCUUUUGUAUGGUUGGAGACUGGAAGACCGGAAAAGAAGGACUUACAAUCUUUUUCUUGUUAACCCAUUAGUUUGUCCUGUUUUUUUCUAUAUAUAUAUAUAUAUAUAUAUAUAUAUAUAUGUAUAUAUAUAUAUAUAUAGAAAGUUGUAUUGUUGCUCCCAUCUCUCUAGGACCAAUUCUAAUAAAGAUCAGAGUCACCGUGGCCAUUGUUAUGUGGUAAGGAGUCCGGUUCUGGAGUUGGGCUUUACACAGCUGUUCAGUUCAUAGCAAUUUUUUUUAAGAUUUUAUUUUUAAGUAAUCUCUCCACCCUAUGUUGGGCUUGAGCUCACAACCCCAAGAUCAAAAGUUGCACGUUUCACCGACUGGGCCAGCCGGGCACCCCCAGUUCAUAGCAAUUUAAAACACCACAUGACAGAAGCUUAGGGCUAAAAAGCGCCUCCUAGGGCAUGGAGGCAGGAGUGUCCCAAAUUGGUGUAAGGAAGGAAGGCUGUAGAGGGGGUUGCUAUAGCUGUCUGUCUGUCUGUUUUUGUGUUGAAGCCAAAGACUUGGGGCUUGAUAUGACCUCAGUCCUUGAGUCUCCCUUGCUCUCUCAACAGGCAGAUGACCUCAGCAACCCCUUUGGACAAAUGAGCCUUAGCCGUCAAGGUUCUACUGAAGCAGCUGACCCAUCCUCAGCUCUGUUCCAGCCCCAGCUUAUCUCCCAGCACCCUCAGCAGACUAGCUUCAUCAUGGCUUCUACAGGACAGCCCCUCCCCACAUCCAACUAUUCCCCCUCUAGCCAUGCGCCUCCUACUCAGCAAGUCCUGCCGCCCCAGGGCUACAUGCAGCCCCCUCAACAGGUGAGCAGCAUGGGCUCCCAGCUAAAAUCACUAAUUGAGUUUGUCCACGAUUACGAUCCUUCUUUCUUCCUCUAGUUUAGACAGAGCUGAGGACGUACCUAUCCCCACUUCCAUUACCUCACCUUGCAUUUGAGAGUUGUCUUUCUAGUCGGAAGGUCGUCUUUCUCUAUAACAUAAAUCCUUCCAGUUCUGUUUCAUACUGGUAUAUGAAUUCUGCAAUUGUAGGUCCAAAUAUCUCUACAGAUUUCUGGCUAUUUACCCUGAUGUAUUUCAUAGUUGGGAUGUUGGGGCUGAAUGUAAGGGCCCCUCUCACAUAUCUGUUUCCUCUCACCAUAGAUCCAGGUUUCUUACUAUCCCCCUGGACAGUAUCCUAACUCCAACCAGCAAUAUCGACCUCUCUCUCACCCGGUGGCCUACAGCCCCCAACGUGGUCAACAGCUGCCUCAGCCAUCCCAGCAGCCUGGUAAGAGGAACUGCUGGUGUAAGAAGGCAGUGAAUAGGGGAAGGGCAGAGACUGGGAAAGAGAGUAGUACCUUCCUUGUUUUAAAAAAAAAAAAAAAAGAACAGCAGGAAUGAUUAGUCCCAGAAGGAACCCAGGAUCUUCAGAAAAAGAAAAGGUAAAAUAGACAGGAGAAGGGAAAUUACUGAGAGAAUGCGACCUCCUAAACAUUGUUGAGACCAUGCUAAGCUAAUGUCUUCUGUGUCUUGCCCGUCCCUAGGUUUACAGCCCAUGAUGCCUAACCAGCAGCAGGCGGCUUACCAAGGCAUGAUUGGGGUCCAGCAGCCACAGAACCAGGGCCUGCUCAGCAACCAGAGGAGCAGCAUGGGGGGCCAGAUGCAAGGCCUGGUGGUUCAGUACACUCCACUGCCUUCUUACCAAGUGGGUACAUUCUGUACUGGGAAAGAUCACCCAGUCCUUGGGAUGAGGAAAAGGAACACAGUCUCCCACGUUAGCCAGUGUGACAACCCCAACACUAAAAUACUGUUCACUUUCCCCUUAGAAUUUGUAGGUGUUUUUCCUCUGAGAGAAAGCCCAAAGAUUCUGAGAAGAGUCUUUACUUAAAUUGUUUGGUCUUUAUACAGCCAUGCAGAUGAGUAUAUGGCCCAGAAAAGUAAGAUCUAAAGGAAAUCAGGCUCCUUUCUCUGCAUCAGAUGCCUAAAGGGAGAUAGCUCUGUAUGUAUUUUCUUUAGGCAGAUGAGGUGAGUAGGAGGAGUCUCGAAAGGUAGGGAAGGAAGUUAGUGUCCUAGUCUAGUGAUGACUUAUUUGGCCAUUGUCUGGAUGAACUCAUUAGGAGUACAAGUGGUCAUUCUCUUCUCAUCUCUAUCCAGGUCCCAGUGGGUAAUGACUCGCAGAAUGUGGUCCAGCCGCCUUUCCAGCAGCCCAUGCUGGUCCCUGCGAGCCAAUCUGUGCAAGGGGCACUCCCAGCAGGGGGCGUACCAGUGUACUACAGCAUGAUCCCACCGGCUCAGCAGAACGGUACUAGGUGAGGACUCCAAGCGAGUCAGGGCCCAUCUGCCAUAGACCAGCAGCUAUUUCCACUGACCUAAGAAAGAAGGGCAAGGGUAGAGAUUCCAGUGUGCCCUAAAGCAGGUAGAAUAUGAGGAAAUUCAUUCUCCUUGUCUCAUUUUUGAUUUGACAUGUGAAUAAGAGCUCAUCAGCAGAAAAAAAUUCCUGCUUCAAAGACAGAGGCUUCAUCAUCUCCCCCAUUUUUUGUUUUUUCUAAUCAGUGGGAUUUAGAACUAUACGAUAGAGAUUGCUCAUCAUUAAAAGAAGCAAUUUGGGGGCAUCUUGGUGGCUCAGUCGGUUGAGCCCAGCUGACUCUUGAUCUCGGCUGAGGUCAGGAUUUCAUGGUUCGUGAGAUCAAGCCUCGAGUGGGGCUGUGCGCUGACAGUGCAUAGCCUGCUCUCUCCCCCUGCCCCUCUCUCUCUGCCCCUCCCCUGCAUGUGCACAUUCUCUCUCUCUCAAAAUAAAAAAAAAAAAAAAAUUAAAAGAUGCAAAUUGGAGUAUAUAUAUGUAAAUUUUUCUACAUAACUCUAUAUCCAUGGAUGAAUCUCAGAUGGUGUAUCUAUUUAUAUAUAUCUUAGUAUAGGUCAUACCUGAUAGAAUUUUAGAGGUAGAAGACACCUUAGAAAUAUUUAAUCCACUCCUCUUGUUUUCCUUUUCUCCCUUCUUUUACAAAUGAGGAAAUUCCAGCCAGGGAGGUUAAGAAACUUACUCAAAGUCAACCAGCUAGUUAGAAGUAGAGCUGGGACUAGAAGUCAAGUCUGGGCCUAUAUGUAUUUCUGUGUAUUUCUCUCAGUGUAUAUGUUCACUACUUUUUGUAUGUAUGUCUCCACCUUAUCUUGAGUUUGUGAGGGUUUUUCCCCACUUCUCUUUAGGUAACUCUGCUGUUAUGUAAACAUCCGAAAUCACACAUCUCCUUAGUUCUUUUUUGCCCAUCCCUCUCUAGCACUGUGUGUCUGUUUUUGGUACUUCGUGUUUCUCAGAAUGUGUGUGUGUGUGUGUGUGUGUGUGUGUGUGUGUGUGUGCGCGCGUGCGCAUGUGUGCACGUGGAUAUGUCUGGUGUUUCCACACUGUUGGGAAGAGCAUGUGUCACUAACAUUCCAUCUGUAGCACUGAUUAGCAGCUUCCUAAUUGAAAGAUGAUCAAGUACAAAUAUAUAUAAUUAACUUUGAACUGAUGAGUGAUUUUAGAAAUUGCAUGGCAAAUUGGUCUGGGAAUGGCUGGAAGCUGCCUCUGCUUCCCACAGGGGAGGCCUGGGAAGCAGCAGCUGGUUGCCAGGAGCUGUGUUCCUCCCUCCGCCACUUUAACCCUACUCUCUUCAUCCCCCAGCCCUUCUGUAGGGUUUCUGCAGCCUCCCGGCUCUGAGCAGUACCAGAUGCCUCAGUCUCCCUCUCCCUGCAGUCCACCACAGAUGCCACAGCAGUACUCAGGUAAGAGGAUAAAGAAUUAGAGGGUCUUGGGUAUUGGCAAGAGCAAACGCUGCUGAAAGACUUGUGCUCUAGAGCUGGGAAGGGUGGGAGAGUUCCUGGAUUGGCUCUGUCCCCAGCUAUAACACCAUCACAAGAAAAGACCAGAGUCCUGACUGGUGUUUUUCCAGGAGUGCUAAAGUUGACCUCGUGAGAGAUGAGGUUGGUUGCCCCAUCCUAUCCCUGGGAAGCCACAUACUUUAUUGUGUUCCUUGUGGGGUUUUUUUUUCUUUCUUCUUUUUUUCCUUCCCUCCGAAACCAGCAUUACACUCACCACUCACAUGCCUUUGAGACACAAAGUGCUUACCUCUGUCUCCUGCACUCACUCUUCCUAUAGACAGCUUUACUUUUUGGUUGUGAGUGUGAGGAAGCUGAUAAAAUGCUUUUUAAGUCCUAUCUUAGAUUUGUUUAGCUGCUUUUCAUUUGUGCUCACAUACAUUGUGUCAUUUUAAUUCUCACCAGAACCUUGUGAAGAGGAAAUUUAAGACUCAAAGAGGAUAAAUGACUUGCCUGAGGUCACAGUCGUAGACCUUGAACUAGGGUCUUUUGCCUUCCAUGCUGCAUCCUCAAUAUCACACUUUCAACAGGUCUCUGUACUCUAUUCCUUUCCCUCCAGUGGGAAAUAAAUGAAUAUCAUGUUAAAUAGCUAAAGGCCUUCUUUGAAGGGACAGCUAUCAGGUGAGUAGGCUUAUGCCAUGCAGGCUGUCUCUUUCUGCCUCUGCCAAGGACUCUCCCAGCAGACCAAGUACAGCUACCCUUGUUUGUUUCCCUUUUACCCAACCCUGACACAGCAUUACCCUGCAGUUAAAGCAGCUUCAGGGGUUCUAGUGGGGAGGAGAUCUUAAUGUAGCCUCCAACCAUCCCCAUUCUGCUCUGUUGUGGGAUAUCAGAGUGCCCUCUUCUGGUGAGAGGGAAGCAUUUUGACGGUUUUUCCCAUUUUAGAAAUAAGAUUUUCACAUAAGAGUUUUCGCACUCUUAGUUAGAUGCUGUGGAGUGAAUUCCAGAAUUAAUCUUGCUCAUAAGACAGGAUCAAUUCUUCUUACCUUCAAGGAGCAGUGACUUCUGCCUUCAUCCAGACCAAACGUGGCUUUCUCACAGGCUGAGAGGUUUUAAAUUCAACAGCCUUUACCCUUUAUUACAUUCCUGGUCUGUAGCUGUUUCUCCUAAGUGUCCACCGGGGGCACUUGACCUUGAAAUUCCCAGCAGGAUAUGGAAAUUGUAGAAAUCAGCUCCAAGAACCGCUGUAGCCUCUGGUGGUGCUUACUACUGCAGGGCAUUUUCUCUUGUUUGUUAAGACAAGUGUGUGUAUGUGCAAAUAGUUAUACUUGUAUGUGCAUUUUUAUGUGAAUCCUUCGUGGUAUAUCAGUAUAUGUAUUGGGUCUCUGUGGUUGUGUCUCUUCAUCUUCAGAUACAAGGUCUUGGAAUCUGAAACAAACCAAGUGAGAAGAAUUUUUCACUACCUGCUCUGGACUUAGUGCUAGGUUAAGCAAACCGGAACAGCUGUUGUUCUGAAAAUUGGCAGCACCAGAGGUCUGGGCUGGGAUUGGAAGAUCAUCUGGACUCUUCCCAGAUCAAUAGAAAUGGAGGAAGCCCUCUUCAUCAUCUAGUUUCCUUACUUUGGAAGUUCCUGUUAUAUGUCCUUUCUUCCAAACUAUCCUGAUUAAUUGAUUUGAGACUUCUCUGAUCCUUUGUACUCUUCCUAGAUGAUGGGACCGCCCCCCUCCUGUUCCAUCCAUGUCACCUAAGAAACCCAUAUACACACCACAUCAUCGAUUUUAAAAGUCUUCAGUCUCUACUCAUGGAAAUAUAAGAGGAGGUGGAAGAAAAGAAACAAGUGCUGCUUCUUCCUUCCUUUCCAGUUUACCUCUUACUAGGAAGAUAGAAGGCCAGCAUAGCCCACAAGGGCUGCUAUGUCACCUUCAAAGGACAGUCACCCGCCUUUCUCCCAUGUAGCAACAUGGUCACUUUUCCAAAAAUAAAGGCAGGGAUUAAGAUUGGCUGUUCUUGGAACAACUGUUCUGGUUUAUUAAUACAUUUUUGUGGUUGCCCAGUUUACCCCCAGGCCUGGACCUUAAUUCUUCCACUAUGAUAUUGGAUAGCAUUAUAACCCCAGGAAACACUUUUCUUCCUACUAAAAUGAUGGUCCGCAGGUCCCUUGAGGUUUCUACAGAGGUGCUUGUCUGCAGGAGAUGCACACAGACAUGAAAUGGCAAUGAUGUACACACACAGACUCCCAACUCACAGUGACACAGCACCAUGGCCAGAGUGAGGUAUAUACAGAAAUAGCCUCUCACAUACUUACUGGCUCAUUUUGUAGCUGAGGGGUUUCCAAAGCUGGGACUAACUCCUUUCUCUCCCACUCCCUGAAGAUAUUCCUCCCCUUCACCAAAAGAGGGGGAAAAAACCAAGAUAUUGUUGGAUUCUAUCCUGUAAUAUGGGAAAGAUGCCUGUGGAUAUUAUUUCUCUGGACAUUCCUUUCCAUAGAUUUGAUUCUUGGUGGCAAAAGAAAGAAGUCUUAUGAGUCUUCUACCUCAGUGAUUAAAAAAAAAACCAUAACAACUAAACAAAAACCAAUUCUGCCAGACAUAAAUGUCAUCUGUUUGUAUUUAUGCGGUUUGCUCUGCCCAAUCGACCUUUCUGCCCAGGUUUAAUGAUGCCACUUAAAAAGCCAUUCACACGUCCCCUCUCCUUUCAGAGCUUUCAGGCUGAAAUUGAUUUCCUUAUUCAACCCCCUUCUCCCCCUUCCCACUUCAGCCCUCCCCUGAUUAUCUGGAAGUGUUGUCACUGGGCAAUAGGGUGGUUUUCUCUCUUUUUUUCUUUCUUCCUUUCUUUUUCUUUCUCUUUUUUUAUUGUCACAUCCAUUUAAAAAGUAGCGACAGUUCAGCUGUAACGGAUGCCACCUGCUUUUGGCUUGAGGAAGAGAAGCAUAAAAAUCAGCUCAUCAGCGUAGUGCUCUGCGUCCCGGCUGAGUGAAGGAACAAUGCUUCAGGCCAGCGGGGGAGGACUCAGUGUGGGGAGGACCAAGGCUGCCACCGACCGAGAACCCUGCCUUUGUUUUUGUUGGGAUCAGAGAAAAUAUAUGAGGGCUUUGUUCUCUUUCCCCCUCCCCUUGAGCCCUCUAAUAGCUCCUUAUGGCUACAUGUUGGUAUUAGAAAGAUCUUCCGCCUUGCCUAUGCCCACACCCUGCACACUCACAUGUCCCCCACCCUUUCCUGGCCUGAGGCACUAGGCUCAGAUUAUGAGCCGCCUUCUAGAAAGCUGCAGAUGUGAUUAUUUUUGUGUUGGCCCCCUCAGGUAGCAAUGAGGUGUUUGAAUAAGGUCAAUUGCAAUUUUGUUGGUAGAGGAUGUUGGAGCAGGUGGGGCUCUUAGGAUGGGGAAAAAAAUGCCCAGAGCAACUACAGUACGGGGGGAGUUGUUAAAUGCAUGACACUCCACAGCUAUUCGAUUUUCUGGUGGCCCUCCUACAAGCCACGCUGAUGAAUACCCUGUCCCCUGUGGCAGAGGAUGGGGAGAGGCGAGCCUGUCGCUCUGAGUAUUUGUGCUCUCUGAUUAGAUGAACCCCAGAGGGUGGGGGGCCACAAAUUGACUGGAGAAUAGGGUUCAACAGAUGCUGCGUCUCCUGAGCUGCUCUCAGGCCUCCCACCGCUUCUUUUCCUUCCCUUUGACCGAUGCUACCCGAGAAAAGCAAUCGUGCUCAGUUCCCAGCAUGACUGGUGCCCAGGGCAGAGGCUGCAACAUUUCCCGUCACAGGAAGCAACGUGACGGCGGCAGCAGUGGCAGCCUAAGAGCACCGAGGCAUGAAAACGGCAGCACUGCAGCAGGUUUUCAAGCUGGCAGCCUCCAGUCCCAUUUCUCUACCGCCGCACACACAUGAACUCAACCUGUCCCUCAACACACAUAGAGCCUGAGAGGUCAAGAGCAAACUCUCAGUCUGCACAAUCCCCUGUGGGGAAGCAGAACUCCUGCCCAUCCCUCCCAGCAGGGACUGUCAUUCAAACUGCUUCUCCCUGAUCCCUUACCUUGCUUUUCACCAUGAGCAAGAUUCAGGACUUCAUGUUCUUCCACACUGAGCUCUUUGCUUCUCCAGCAGAGGGUAAGGCUACCCCUGGUUGUCUGUGCUAAAACUUCAGGAUCACAUCCAGUCAGUCACCUGAACCUGUCAGCAAAAGCUUCGGAGGGUCUGACCCUCCCACUCUUCCUUGCAGCCACUGGUCUAAUUCAGGACCUCCUCGCUAUUUUUCAGUAGCUUUCUAACUCUUCGUCCUGCUGCUGGCCCCUCCCUCCCUUAAGCCACUGUACAGCUGGCCACUUGAGUUAGCUCUCUGAAGUUCUGUUCCUAACACCUACAUGAUAAAGACCCUUACUAGAACGUGCUUCAAACUUGGACGCCAGCUGUUUGCUUACUAUCUGACUCCCUGAUAGACUGUCCAUUCCAUUAAGGGCAAGGACCACUUUUGUUUGUUGUACACCCAGUGCCCAGCAUAGGACCUGGCACACAGUAAAUAUUCAAUAAAUGUUGAGUGAAUGCAUAAACAAUCUCAUCUCCCGCUUCUCCUGCAUAACCGCUGUGCCUCCGCACCUUGAAUUGUUCGUCAUUUACUGAAUAUGACCUACAGCUCCAUGCCAUUCCUAAUUCACUCACCCUUGCCCAAGAAGUGCUUCCUGGCCUGACUUAGUGAAGCUAUGUGCACUCAUCUUCUCCAGAGCAACCAGAGAUCACUGACCUAUCUUCAGCCAUUACCAGAAAACCUGCACGUGCCUGCAGCCCUGGCCCAGGCCCCAGACUGGGACCUGUACCAUGCCCAGACAUUUGAGCAACCUGACCUGGACAUUUGGUAAUACCCAACUUUGACAGAAUGGAGUAGUUUUCUGCCAAGCAUACCAAAGUACCCCUCACCGGGUGAAGGCCAGGAGAGCAUUGGCAUCUGGGACUCAGGUCUCUUCUACUCAGACUUCACUGGUUCAGGGAGAAGGGAGUCAGAAACUAAAUUAGCAACUAUCUCAGAUUCCUGGCAAGACACAUUUUAAGUGACCCUGAGGCAAAGUGGGUAGAUUUGUUUACUGGCUUUCACACUCAGGGUUACUUGGAAGGUCACAAUAUAGUUUGAAUUCACAACUAGCCCCUUUCUUCCUGCCACUCAGGAGUGUCACCUUCUGGACCAGGCGUGGUGGUCAUGCAGCUGAACGUCCCUAAUGGACCCCAGCCCCCCCAGAACCCAUCCAUGGUCCAGUGGAGUCACUGUAAAUAUUACAGCAUGGACCAGCGUGGGCAGAAGCCUGGAGACCUGUACAAUCCUGACAGCAGCCCCCAGGUGAGUCCUACAAACCAGUGUUGUCUUGGCAAGGAGAUGACCGCAUUCUUCUCCGGGAAUAAUCUUUGCCAUUGACUGAGCAGCCUCUUGUACAUGUCUGUCCCUGGGUGCUCUUCUGGGAGAGUCAUAAGAAAGAGAGGAGAGCCUCUUCUUUCAAGGAGCCUAAGAGCUAAGGGAGACAUACUUGAAAAUGCUAAGACAAUGCUUAAAGCACUGUGUCAAAGGUGGAUAUUAAAAUAAUAGGUAUUAAUUAGGGACGAAGGGGGCUGUUGAAAGGAGCAGCCGGGCUUUGGCAGAGUUCUGCAAGAGACGCUUUCUGAGUGAGGUGAAUUUUAAGCCAUAGGUAUAUCCAGAGGAUGUUUGGUGUGUAUAUAAUGUGUGCUCCUCUCUCCUACAGGCCAACACACAAAUGAGCAGCAGCCCUGUCACAUCUCCUACCCAGUCUCCAGCACCCUCUCCUGUCACCAGCCUCAGCAAUGUCUGCACAGGACUCAGUCCCCUUCCUGUCCUCACACAGUUCCCCCGGCCUGGGGGUCCAGCACAGGGUAAGGGGUGAGACUAGAGCUGGCUGCUGCCAAAUUCACCCUUCACAGCCCAUUCCCAAGUGAGGACAUCCAGAUGGUAGCAACAGGCAGGAAAACAGUGCACCUGGUCAUCCAACUCUGGGAGCCAACUCUUCCUUUAACAUCCCUGUUUAGACCCUGCCCCUCUUUAGUGCUGCCCAUAGUCAGCUUACUGCAGACCUCCUUUACAUAUUUAGUAUUUACUACCAAGUAAGGUAGGUGGGUGACUAUGAGCUGGGAAAAGAAACUCACAGAACUUUCUAAUGAACCAAAGACUUUAAAACAUUGGUACUGAGCCUAAGGACUAGGACUGUGGGGCUGUGUCAGAAACAGUAUGGUUUUAGAAGAGAGAACACUGGAGUUGGGUUAAAAAGACUUGGGUUUGAGUUCUAGUUCUACUACUAACUAGGUUUGUGAUGUUGAGCGUGUUACUUAAACUUGGAACCAGACCUCAAUUUCCUAAUCUAUAAAAUGGGGUUAAUCACACAUAGAAUGGAAAUAAUCUUACCCGUUUCUGCCUUGGCUGUCACAAGCAGUAUAAAAAUCAGAUGGGAGUAUGAUUUAAAAACUUUAAAGUGCUCUGAAAUCUAACAUUUAUCAACACAAAUAGGUAACACUAUGGUACUGGAUAUAUAUGAAGCAUUACUGGAAGUGCUUUGUGUGUCCUAUAUUCAUUUAGCCUACUCAGCAACACUAAUGAGAUGAAAACAUACCCAACCUAUCAUUUCCAGUAACAGAGCCAGGAUUUGAACCUAGACAGUUUGACACCAAGCCUGUAAUCUUAUCCACUACACUAUAUUGCCACGCAGUGCGAAUCCAAAACUUGAGCCCUGGGUUUGGGUAGGAUAAUCUGUAUAAGAAAUUAGGGGUACCUGGCUGGCUGAGACGGUAGAGCGUGCGACUCUUGAUCUCAAGGUCGUGAGUUCAAGCCCCAUUUGCGGCAUAGAAAUUACCUAAGAGAAAGAAAGAAAAAGAGAAAGAAAGAAAGGGAGGGAGGGAGGCAGGGAGGGAGAAAGGAAGGGAGGGAGAGAGGGAGAGAGGAAGGAAGGAAGGAAGAAAGAAAUGAAAGAAACAUAUUCAUAAGGGUCUAUAGAUUUUCUCCUGGGCCUUUUGUCUGCAGUGGACAGAGCCCUUCUUUAAGAAUAAAGGAACCUAAAAGCCCCAUUUGCAUGAGAUACACAGCUGAGGGCCAAGCAGUUUAGGCAGAGAGACAACUCUUCAGUCAGUCACAUGGGCACUCUUAUCAUAGAAGAAGUAAGAAUAGCAUGCAUUGUUGCCAUCUAUCUCCAAAGCCCUCUAAAGUUUCCUAAAAGUCAUACCAUGAAGUUCUAACUCCCAGAAAACCAUCUGCUCUUCCUCCCUAGGUGAUGGGCGCUACUCCCUCUUGGGCCAGCCAUUACAGUACAAUCUGUCCAUCUGCCCUCCCUUGCUCCAUGGCCAGUCGACGUACACGGUACAUCAGGUGAGGGUGUCCACCGUCAGCCUGAGGACCG
rnacentral:lncRNA from 1 species